rfam:TPA: Bos taurus chromosome 13, whole genome shotgun sequence.
UCCCUGGUGGUCCAGUGGUUAAGACUCCACACUUCUAAUGCAGAGGACACGGGUUCGAUCCCUAGCCACGGAA